UCUCACCUCAAGCCUAAAUCAUUUUCUCUAUAUUCCUUUGGCCAAAUUUACAACUGUAUAUUUGUGUUUGCAACUGUUUAUUAAAAUGAGGACAAAUGGAAAGAAUGAGAGAUGUAUCAAUUAAAAAGCAUGAUUAACACUGGAAUUUUUGAGACAUGGAGAUUUGGACUAUGGAAAGGAUAAGAAAACUUGAAUAGGGGAAAAAAGGUGGAUUGAAGCUAUAGGAAAGAAUUAGCAUGUGAGUGAGAAGAUUAUUAUAUCUUAAAAAAGCAUGGUAAGUACAAUAUUUGAAUGUAGUGGUGUGCAACAUGAAAUUAUCAGAAAUCUUGGAAGAGGUUUUCGUAAUUAUCCUUUGUUGUAAUAUUAUUCACUUUUUUUUGUACCUCGUGAUUAUUGGUUGCCACAUUCGCACUCGAAAUGCAAACGCACAAAGCAAAAUUUAAGGAUGAAAAAUAAAAAAACCAUGGCAAUAAAUAUAGGAAAAUACUCUAUGUUUGAUUAACGCUAAAAUAUUAUAAAAUGAUUAUAGUAUUUCUUUUUCAUUUUUUAUUAGUAACACUUUUUUUAAAAAAAUUAGUGGGGGAAUAAUAGGAUUUAAGAAGCAAAGAGGGGACAGGGAGAUUAUAAUUCAGGAUCUCUAACUCUUGGGAGCAAGAUGAUAAUAUUAUUUCUAAAAACCCAAUAUCGAAUCCUGUUGAUUUUGAUAUAAAGGAACUUGGAUGAUUGAAGAGUUUAAAAUAUAAAAUACUUCUUAACUAUAAUAUCUUAUCAUUAAUCAAAUGUGGAAUCUUAUGAUUGUUACCUAUUUUUUUGCUUUGGAUUUGGUUUUUUGGUGUUUGAACUUUGAGUAUGAACUGACUAAAGAUUACUACAAUGAGGAGAUUCAUUUAAGUGAGGUCUUCCUCCAUUUGAAACGGGAGCUUACAUGGCAUAAAAAAGAUUAAAAUGGUAAUAAUUUAGAAAAGAGCAUGGAAAAUUUUUUCCAAAGAAGAUUACUUCAGAUAUAAACUCCCUAUAAUGAUGUAUCAAUGCCACAUCAUUAUGGAGUUCACCAAUGUAGACGUCAGCAUCCAUAAACCAUUGGGGCGUCAAGAUACUUUCACUCAAACUUUAUUAUCUAGGGGGAGGCAUGAAUGGGAUAGCAUUGAGAAGGGAGUGUGAGUGAGAAAUUUCGGGUUCGAAAUUUUUUACUUAUACUAAAAAAAAAUUUUAAAAAUAUUAUUAUUUAAUAAAUUUGGAAAAGUAGUCAAUUCUUUAUCUUAAAUUAUGUUACAGUUAUAUCCUCUUCAUGAAUUAGUAUUGAUCCCCUUACUACUACCCAAAUUUUGCCUAUAACUUUUGGAUAAUUCAUAUAAAGGAGUAGGCUACUAUUCAGUAUUCACUCACAAUUAAUAUAAUACGUUUUAUUUUUAUUUAGCAAAAUAGCCAAAUGGAUCUCAAUAUAAUUGCUAAAAAUGUAUCCCUUCUCCCAGUCUCCGUUUGCCACCAACAUCAUUCCACCAACACCACCUUGCUCCACCCAAAAAAAAAAAAAAAAAA
rnacentral:lncRNA from 1 species